CAGCCGCCGCGGGAAUACGUAGGGUGCAAGCGUUAAUCGGAAUUACUGGGCGUAAAGCGUGCGCAGGCGGUUAUGCAAGACAGAUGUGAAAUCCCCGGGCUCAACCUGGGAACUGCAUUUGUGACUGCAUGGCUGGAGUGCGGCAGAGGGGGAUGGAAUUCCGCGUGUAGCAGUGAAAUGCGUAGAUAUGCGGAGGAACACCGAUGGCGAAGGCAGCCCCCUGGGCCAAUACUGACGCUCAUGCACGAAAGCGUGGGGAGCAAACAGGAUUAGAUACCCCUGUAGUCCCUGUCUCUUAUAC
rnacentral:rRNA from 1 species